rnacentral:rRNA from 1 species
UACAGAGGUCCCGAGCGUUGUUCGGAUUCACUGGGCGUAAAGGGUGCGUAGGUGGUGAGGUAAGUCGGAUGUGAAAUCUCCGGGCUCAACCCGGAAAUGGCAUUGGAAACUACCUUGCUGGAGGAUUUGAGGGGGGAUUGGAAUACUUGGUGUAGCAGUGAAAUGCGUAGAUAUCAAGUGGAACACCAGUGGCGAAGGCGGCUCACUGGCCCGGUACUGACGCUGAGGUGCGAAAGCGUGGGGAGCAAACAGG